rnacentral:rRNA from 1 species
AUUCCUACGGGAGGCAGCAGUGGGGAAUUUUGGACAAUGGGCGAAAGCCUGAUCCAGCAAUGCCGCGUGUGUGAAGAAGGCCUUCGGGUUGUAAAGCACUUUUGUCCGGAAAGAAAUGGCUCUGGUUAAUACCUGGGGUCGAUGACGGUACCGGAAGAAUAAGGACCGGCUAACUACGUGCCAGCAGCCGCGGUAAUACGUAGGGUCCAAGCGUUAAUCGGAAUUACUGGGCGUAAAGCGUGCGCAGGCGGUUGUGCAAGACCGAUGUGAAAUCCCCGAGCUUAACUUGGGAAUUGCAUUGGUGACUGCACGGCUAGAGUGUGUCAGAGGGGGGUAGAAUUCCACGUGUAGCAGUGAAAUGCGUAGAGAUGUGGAGGAAUACCGAUGGCGAAGGCAGCCCCCUGGGAUAACACUGACGCUCAUGCACGAAAGCGUGGGGAGCAAACAGGAUUAGAUACCCUGGUAGUCCACGCCCUAAACGAUGUCAACUAGUUGUUGGGGAUUCAUUUCCUUAGUAACGUAGCUAACGCGUGAAGUUGACCGCCUGGGGAGUACGGUCGCAAGAUUAAAACUCAAAGGAAUUGACGGAAU